AGCCAAUAGGAUCGUGCCACGUCAGCCCUAAGCCCAUAAUCAUGUGGGCUCUGGCCCAAAGCUUGACUCUUCCUACAACUAUAAAUAGGGGUCCUCAUAUCAGUUCUAAACACACACAAAUCAUUUGAGAGCUCAAGCAUUGAAGGAGUAAUUCACUAUAACGAAGUCAUCUCCAACAAUCAAGGCAUUCUUCGUGGAAGCAACCCAAAAGCUCAAGUCAAAUCCAACGCUCGAUCCAGAAAUAAGGCGUAGGCCCUCUGCAUCAACGUUAUAAAGCCCAAAGCUCAAGGUUCAAGGCGUUAUACAAGGAAGUCAACACGUUCUUCAUCAAAUUCAUCAAAGUCAACGUUUGAUUCAGAAAUAAGGUGGAAGCCCUCCGGAUUGACGUCAUCAAAUUCAAAUUCAAGUUCAAGCCAUCAAAUCAAAUCCAAGGAGAUCAAGAAGGCGUACUUCCCUCCAAAGAUUGCAAGAAACAUAUCAAAAGCAAAUUCAAGUCAAGUCAUCAAUCAAAUCAAAUCCAAGGAGAUCAAGAAGGCGUACUUCCCUCCAAAGAUUUCAAGUAACAUUUGAAGAGGAUAAUCAGAGGAUCAAGUGGAGAUUCGCAACCCGCAACAAAUUCAUCUCAAUCCAUAUAUUUUGGAUUUGUACACAUUUUUGUAUUUCAUUAAAUUGAAUACAAUAAAAUUUGUGUUUACAAAUUUUGGCACGCCCGGUGGGACAUCUCUACCUCUCAUCUCUCCUCUUCACCAACAACAACUCAAGCAAAUUCAAAUGGAGAACAAAGCUUCAAGUGCUGCCCUAAACAUCACUUUGGAGAACAUUGGUGUUAUCACUCGAGGCAAAGCUAUGCAAUUGGAGGAGAUUUUCAAGUCUGCUUCAGCAAUGGAAGAGCAUUCAACCGCGAGCUACUAUCUUGAAGCUCCUGUCAUGGUGACAAACGCUUCUACUCUGGAGGAACAAGUUGCUAGCAUAGCUAAGCUUCUUGAAAGCAUGAACAAGCGUAUAUUGGAGCAAGACGCCAAGAUCUCAAAGCUCAUCUUAGAGAAAGGAGAAGGAAGUCGAGUGAAUGACGAAAAAGAUGAAAAAAGCGAUGAUUCAGAGUCAUUCGAGAAGCACCAUGAAGAAAAGACGCCUCCUAAGAACAUCGAAGUCUCUGCCGAUGGCUUCAUUCACAUCAAUCAACUCAAAGACUUCAUCAUGGGAACGGUCAAAGACAAGUUCGAAGGGACCUCGAAAUCAGCAUGGACUUAUAGCAAGCCAUAUACUACAAGGAUUGACUCCUUGAAGAUGCCAAUAGGCUACCAGCCUCCAAAGUUUCAACAAUUUGAUGGCAAAGGCAAUCCAAAGCAACAUGUGGCUCACUUUAUGGAGACAUGCAAUGAUGCGGGAACAUAUGGAGAUUACUUGGUGAAGCAAUUUGUUCGUUCCUUGAAAGACAAUGCAUUUGAUUGGUAUGUCAACUUGGAGCCAAAUUCCAUCGAUAGUUGGGGGCAAAUGCAAAAGGAGUUCCUCAAUCGCUUCUAUAGCACUCGAAGAACAGUGAGCAUAGUUGAGCUUACAAACUCAAAACAAUGGAAAGAAGAGUCAGUCAUCGACUACAUCAACCGAUGGAGGGACUUGAGCUUAAAUUGUAAAGAUCGACUAUCUGAAGCUUCAGCAAUCGAGAUGUGCAUUCAAGGCAUGCAUUGGAGCCUUCAAUACAUCUUAAAAGGAAUUCGACCAAAUACGUUUGAAGAAUUGACUACUAGAGCUCAUGACAUGGAGUUAAGCAUGAUCGCAAAUAAAGUUGAUGAUCUACACAUGCAAAUGUCAGACGACUUUCAAGAAGACGAAGAAGCAAGUCAUGGGGGCAAAUCUCUUGAAGAAAUCCCAAGUGAAGAUGAUGAAGAAAUCCCAAGUGAAGAUGAUGAAGAAACUUCAAAUGUAACCACAAGCCAAUCUUCAAGUUGAAAUUCAUAAAGUCAAAUGCUCCUUGGUAAGAGCCUAAACUAUCAAUUAUGCUCCUUGAGAAGAGCCUAAACUAUCAACGAAGCUCCUAGACAUGAGCAAAAUGAUCAUUCAAGUUGAAUACUCCUUGACACGAGUAUAAAAUAUCUACAAUAAUCAUUCAAGUUGAAGACUCCUUGACACGAGUAUAAAAUGUCUACAAACUCAAAUUCAAGUUGAAGACUCCUUGACAUGAGUAUAAAAUGUCUACAAAUUCAAAUUCAAGUUGCAUACUCCUUGACACGAGUAUAAAAUGUCUACAAAUUCAAAUUCAAGUGAAGACUCCUUGACACGAGUAUAAAAUAUCUACAAAUUCAAGUGAAGACUCCUUGACACGAGUAUAAAAUGUCUACAAAUUCAAGUUGAAGAAUCCUUGAUACGAGCAUAAACUAUCUUAGUUCAAUUGAAAAACUCUUGAAUAUGAGUAUAAACUAUUCACAAAUUUGAAUCCAAGAACUCCUUGAUAUGAGUAUAAACUAUCUAAUAAUUCAAAACUGUCGAGACUCGUUCAUUUCCACGACAAGUCGUCCAUGAACAAGUCUCGAGGGGGCAUUUGUAGGCACACGAAUUUUAAAAGAAAUAAAAAUAUUUUAUUAAUUUUAUAUCUUUGUUUAUUUUGGAAUCUUAUGAAAUCCAAGAUUAAAUAUGAUAUAUUAUUAAUAAAGAUCUUACCAUAUUUCAAAGAUAGAGAUCAAUUUCUUUGGCAGCAAGUCAAAUCUAAUAUUGAUAUAUAUCAAUAUUCAAGAGCCAAUAGGAUCGUGCCACGUCAGCCCUAAGCCCAUAAUCAUGUGGGCUCUGGCCCAAAGCUUGACUCUUCCUACAACUAUAAAUAGGGGUCCUCAUAUCAGUUCUAAACACACACAAAUCAUUUGAGAGCUCAAGCAUUGAAGGAGUAAUUCACUACAACGAAGUCAUCUCCAACAAUCAAGGCAUUCUUUGUGGAAGCAACCCAAAAGCUCAAGUCAAAUCCAACGCUCGAUCCAGAAAUAAGGCGUAGGCCCUCUGCAUCAACGUUAUAAAGCCCAAAGCUCAAGGUUCAAGGCGUUCUACAAGGAAGUCAACACGUUCUUCAUCAAAUUCAUCAAAGUCAACGUUUAAUUCAGAAAUAAGGUGGAAGUCCUCUGGAUUGACGUCAUCAAAUACAAAUUCAAGUUCAAGUCAUCAAAUCAAAUCCAAGGAGAUCAAGAAGGCGAACUUCCCUCCAAAGAUUUCAAGAAACAUAUCAAAUUCAAAUUCAAGUUCAAGUCAUCAAAU
rnacentral:lncRNA from 1 species